GCAUCUGACGUGGAGAACAGUGUAGCAGCAUCUGACGUGGAGAACUCUGUAGCAGAUGCUGAUAUCGACGCCAGAGUAAAAAGCAAAUAACGCAGCUGCACAGAUCAAUAUGUCCUAAAAAAAACUCUGUGACUUGCUUUCCAACAGUGGACAGUAUCUCAAAAUGAUAAAUUUACUUUUUCUAAAAAUUCAAAAUUAACUCUUAUUUUCUGAUGGAAAUCUCUAGCUGGAUAAGCUGGUUGAUCAGUUUAGCUAUUGAUCAGCAUGAGGGAGGUCUGCUUUUGUGUGAGGUUGAUGAUUUAGCUGCUCUCUAGGCAUGAUCAAUAUAACCAAGCUAAUCAACCAAUACGACCAAACUUAACAUGGUUUGAAAUACAGUCACUGCUAAAUGUUUAAGUUCCUUGAGGUUGUUUUGGAAGUUUCUUCCAUUUGAAACUGUGGGGGAACCCCUUAAGCUGCCUUGGGAGAAAAUGUUCCUUGAAGCAACGUAAGCUUUCUAAAAGCUUCAUCCACUCCUUCCAAUUGAAAAACCUACAAAAGUUUCUGGAGGAAUUCAUGCUUUUAACAGUGUAGAGUGUAAAAACAUACAUAGUGUUUAUGCUUCAAUGGAAACACGAGGCUAGUCUCAAAUGCUCGGUGAGGGUCUAAACUGAUCAAUAAUAUAAACAGUGUUGAUGUGAAAAGGAAGUAACACAUGUUUAAUCGUUUCUUCUCCUCUGGGUCAGAUGCCAGUCAGGAGAGACUUAAUGAAACUUGUGAUUGUGGUUGCCCCAAUGGCUGGGAGGAGUCUGAUGGACGCUGCUACAUUAAUCAGAAAACCCCCAAGGACUGGGCUUGUGCUGAGGUUCACUUCAAUUCAAUUCCACUUUAUUCCAAUUUACUCUCCUCCUCUUUAAGUGGCUUAUUUUGCAGCACUAAGGCGGUGCAAAAUUGUUUUAUCACUACGAACACGCAGACUACACUCCAAAAAUGCUCACCUCUGAGCGGUGAAAGAACUAGCUCUGCAGUUAGCGGCUAAUGCUAAUGCUGCUGCACCCAGCCUUAGUGCUGGAGAAACUUUAAAAACUUUAAAAACUCACCCUUAUAAUUUAGUUUUUUUUUAGCGGAGUGGCUUUACUGCUCCUUAAUAGCUGACUGGUAGAAUUCAUACAUAAUUCAUACAGAUGCACCAAAUUAUAAAGAGCACUGAUGAUUUAUGGGAAAAUUAAAGAAUUUUAAGUGCUUGUUUUUCUUCUUUAAUAAGACUUUAAAUUACAUAAUGUUUAAAAUAU